rnacentral:ribozyme from 1 species
AUUCGGACCGUUCUGAAAACCGCCGUUCUAGAGCCCGCAGCUCUGCCGCCCUCUCCAAAAGUUCCGUUUGGUCAGGGGGUGCGAUGUGGUUGCACUAUAUCGUAAAUUCUACGUUCCAUGUUUUUUUCAGACUGGAAAAGUACGUCUGCACUUCGCACGCUCCUUUCAAGAAGAAGAGGUCGGGUUGACCGAUAACGUG